UCUAAAUUGACAUAUUUCUUUUUUUUAAAGAAGUUAUUAAAGGUGGUUUAUUUUAAAAAAAAGCACUGUAUAUAAAAAUAUAAGAAUCUCCGAGCAUACACAAAGUCACCAGGACAGUUUUUGCACUGAAUUAGAUCUUUUUGGAAUCAGAGGGAUGAUUCCACAUAAGUAUUCGGUAGAAAACAGAAUAUAAUUAAAAAAUCAGAAGUUGCAUCAAACAUCUGCAAACGGCAGGAGUGCAAUACGCAGUAAGAUUAAAACAUUGAUAAGUUAACUGAGAUCUGGGAGAGUGGUUCUUUUGCAGAAAUAAUACGGUUUGAGGAUUUGCGAACUUUUGUGAGGCACUAACACUUGUUGGAGGAGUUUGAUAUAAAGCAGCUCUCUUAGGAUUAGCACCAUGCAAUGUAUCUGAUUAAGCAAGAACCAAUUUGAGCAAAACCAAUCUGAAUGAGAGUGCACUCAAGAGAUUGCAAGAUUGUUGAGUCGUCCGCAAAUUUGUCUCAUUAAAUGGAAGAUUUUUUAUAUAUAUAACAAUUGGAAUGGGAUCAAGUAUGGAUCUUUAUGGAAUCCCAAUAUUAACCACUCUGUCUCUCUAACCGACGGUCCUUAAGAUAGGAUUUAUGCGACGAACGAAGAAAUUAUUAAGCAUCAACUUCUUUAGAAGGAUAUCAUGGGUAACACAGCUAAAGUCAUGCUUAAACUUCAGAAUAGAGCAGGGAUGGACAAAUCACAUACGAACAACAAAAGAUCCUGAAGACCAUCGAGGAAUACUACAAAGUAAUAAAUGAUCGAGAUAAUUCCAUUCAAGAGAUACAAGUUCUAGUUAUACAGGAUUAAGAAUCUGAGGAACUUCCAGAUAUAACUAAAGAGGAGAUUGGUUUGAGUCAGCCAUAAAAACUAUGAAGGACAAAAAAGCACCGGGAGAAGAGAGCAUUGUGAUUCAAAUGAAAAAAACAAGGAUUUAAACGCGUUAUGAAAGAAACCCUAUAAACUCUAUAAUACAUACAUCUUUAUAGGAAAUAUACCAAAACAAUGGAAUAAUUGCAUUAAUAUAGAAAUGAAAACAUAACAGAAGUUAGAAACUACCGACCUCUCACUAAUAUCUCACUUAUAUAGGGUGUUCCAAAAAUCAGCGAUAAGCUGAAAACCGGCAAUAGACUAGGUGCCCAGGGAUUAAAAAAAAUAUUUAAAAAAAUCUAGGUUAAGUACUUUUAAAAUGUCCUGGAAAAAAAAAUUACUUCACUAUUUGGCAAGUGAUUUCAGAAGUUGGCGUAUCUAAUCUAGAUUUCAAAAUGCUAAGAUACUUGCUAAAUUAUUGGUUCAACAAAGGUGUAUUUUUUACAUGAAAUGUAUGCCAGUACUCUACGCUAAGUUAUUAAUUAUACAUUCAAAAUAAAACUUUACUUAAGUCGCAACUAAUGUUCAAAUUGUCUGCCUCCAUUCCUGAUACGACGUUUUAAACGGGAUUAGUGUAUACGAUUUCUUAAUCUUUAUCACUUUUUAUUAAUUAUGGUUUCCUGUAAAGUAGGGAAAUUUAAAUAAAUUAUUUAAAUUAGGUGAACAUGGCGCCAGGCUUUCUUCUAUCCCGCCCUAUCUACCUGUACGGGUAUUCCCUAUUCAGAAAUACCCCUACAGGGUAAGUAAGACAGGUGGUGAUAUAACUUAGGUCAUUAAUUAAGACUUUUGCUACUGCAGUACUUUGCUAUCCUACGUUUACUACGCAUCUUUCUGUAUUAUUGUUGAUUAUUUUGACUUUUCUGGACUAUCAAUAACCAUAUGAUUAUUUAGUUAGUAAAUAAAACCAUGCCAGAUCGUCAUACUGUGCGGGAAUAUGCUUAUAUAUAUAUCUCAUCUAUAGAGAAUAUCGAUGCAAUGGUAAUGCUGCCGCUAGACUGUAUCAUCAAAGGUACCCAAGUAAAGAGCGUUAUCCAAAUUACUGAGUAUUUCUAAAUAUGCAUCUAUUACUUCUAGAGGGCCGAUUCUCAAAUCAAAUGAGUGGUGCAGGCAGAACGCGCUUGUCCUACGAGGCCGAAGUCUUAUAAGAAGUUGCACGUGAUCCGAGUACCUCAGUACGUGAAGUAAAAUCAAGGACAGGCAUGUUUAAGAGUUCGGCACACUGAAUAUUGAAAAAAAAAACAGUAACUCCAUACCACUUACAACAAGUACAAAGUUUACUACCUCGAGACUACCCGGCAAGACUAGAAUUUUAUCAAAUAAUGUUGUAAAGACAUAGAGAAGAUUCGCGAUUCUUGGAAAGAAUUCUAUGGUUCGAUAAAUCGACUUUUAAGAGGGAUGGAUUCAUAAAUUACCACAACAUAUAUGAGUGGCAUGUGGGAAAUCCAUACUAAAACCGAGAGGACCGGUCACAAUACCAGACAGGUAAGAGCCAAAGAGGUAAUAAAUAAAAUUCAAGUAGCACAGAGAGCGAUAGAGAGAUUAAUUAAUGUUGAAUUUAUCCGUCAGAGACAUCCCAAAUGAUACUUACCAAAUAAAAAGUAUGGAAAGAACUGGUAAUACGAACGCAGUUAAAUAGUUUACAAUACUGAAAUGAUACUGGGCAGACAAUGUUGCCAGAGCGAAAGAUCGAACAUGGACAAUUCUAUAAUUUUCUUUCUAUAUGAUGCAUACAUAAACCGAGGACGUCCUCCAACGAGAUGGUCGGACGAUAUCAAGCUCAUCCAUCACUGAAUGCAAAGUACUCAAGAUCGGAAGCAAUGGAAUGGUUUACGAGAUGUGCACCAGUGAACUCAAAGCAGCUAUUGAUGAUGAUGAUACUCGUUAUUCGUCCAAGAUAUACAAAAAUAUUAGAAUUUGUCCAAUACUUAACAGAAAUACCCAUUAUUUAAUUUUGAUUUAACUUUGACACAUUUGAUGCACUCACUAUUGUGAAAUUGCAUUCAACCAUUGACUUCGGCACCACGGAAAAUUUAGCCAUUUGGCCUAAAUCCGCUUUUAAAUUUAGAAAAUAUGUAUUUGAUAUUUUUUAGGCCUGUUUGAAGAAAAAAACUAAAAACAAUUAAUUUUAUUAUUUUUUGUACAGAGAAAAUUCAAGAUAAAUUAUUAAACUUAAAAGAAAAUAAAACUUUAAAACUUUUUAAUUUUUUUUUAAUUAUUGGGAAGAUUCCAAGUAAAUUAUUAAAGUUACAGUUUUUGCCCUGAUUCUACAACUAUCCACUAAAUUAUUAAUUUAAGGACGUAAAUUAUCUCAGUAGCACAUAAUUAUUUUUUGAUCCUGGGCUUGUAUUCUUAUAAAGAAGUUUGCUAUUACUCUUCCUAUAUCAACUCAAUAAUUCUAUUUAUUUGUUA